rnacentral:rRNA from 1 species
UACGGAGGGGGCUAGCGUUGUUCGGAAUUACUGGGCGUAAAGCGCACGUAGGCGGCUUUGUAAGUUAGAGGUGAAAGCCCGGGGCUCAACUCCGGAAUUGCCUUUAAGACUGCAUCGCUAGAAUUGUGGAGAGGUAAGUGGAAUUCCGAGUGUAGAGGUGAAAAUCGUAGAUAUUCGGAAGAACACCAGUGGCGAAGGCGGCGAGCUGGUCCAUUACUGACGCUGAGGCGCGACAGCGUGGGGAGCAAACAGG